UCCAUUGAAUGAAUAAAAGACUCUGACAUCUAAAUCCCACUUUUAGAAGGCAGAUUUAACACUAAUUUUGGUUUUACCUGUUCUUUAUUCCUUGGUCUUCCAGAAAGUCACGUAUGUAAGUGAUUCUGCCCAAGAUAAGUUGGAGGCAUGUAGAAACACAGGGAAGGAGCUCAGCACCAAGGAAGCAGCGCUGAGACCCUGUCCAGAAGACAUUAACAGAAAAGGGGGUAGAGACAGAGUAGUGAAAAGCAACAGAGACGGAGACUGAGAGACUAUGGAAGAGUGUUCAUAAGAAGACAGGAGAGAAAAAGGGACUAAAAUGAGUCUUACUAUGGACUGCUUAGAAGAAAAAGAGCUAAGCAUGCCUGGAACCUCGUUUUGUGCAGAACAACCAAUUUGUGCACAACCAUUUUGUGCACAACCAAACAGCUUUUAUCAGACUGCAAGAACACUGCUAUUGAGUGCUCCCUUGUGCACUUUGAGCACAAAGUCACCACCAGAGAGAGCACUUCCAGAUCUCCUGGAACAACAUAAAUCUGGGAUUCAAGUAUUGAGACAAUAG
rnacentral:lncRNA from 1 species